UGCCAAGGUCUAGAGGUACCAGUUUGCGAUUAGUCUGGAGUUUUCAGGUACGUUUGUAGCAGCUAAUAUUAGGGCCAUCGCUGCUGGGAUGCCGUGGCUUUGGAUUCCACAAGUUUGCGAUUAAUCUGGAGGUGCGUUGGGUGCAGCUAAUGUUAUAUCAGUCGAUUAUAGUUUGUAGCUUGUAUCUUAAUAAAUUAUUAAUUAAUUGUAAAUAAAUGUAUUUUGGUUUUAAUUGCUUUUAUUAA